GACAGGCUUCCUGUUACCUACCUUGAGUUUGAGAGUCUUGAAAACCUUGUGUGUAGCAUUGCAAAGCUGCCCUGGAACAUGAAAAAUACAGCCUCUUCUCACCAGUGCUGAAGGAGGCUUCUUCCGACUCCAGCUUGAAUGUUUCUCAAGACGGUCAGUUAAGUGAAACCAUCUUUUCCAAAAGCUUGAGUAAACCUGAGAACCUCCCCACCAAUGAAUUAGGUAGGAGGAAAGCGGGCCCCAGUGGCGAGUAUCAUGAAAAGAUUCAGUUCUCAGACUUGGCUGCUUAUUGGAAUUAUUUGAAGAGCUUUAAAAGUACUAGCUGCCCAUAAAGGUUGCAGAUAUUCAGUGCUAUUAUAGGAAUUUUCAUGAAUACGUUUGAAAAUCCUGAUCUAUGGAUUGAAUUCCUGUUUUGAUUAAUUGAUUUGUAAACCUCUGUCCCUUUUGUGACUCUGUUCUGCCUUUUGGGAUUGGAGUUUCAUUGUUUACCCAGAUGCACAGAUACUUCCUGAUCAUUUGCUUUGGAAAAGCCAACUGCCAAGUCAUAAGCAGCCCUGUGGCGAACCCUACAUGGUGUGGAACUGAGACCUUGUGCCAACAGCCAGAUCUACUGCUCUCUACCCUUCUCCAUCCUGCCCCAUGCCUUAGACGGCUGAUGACAUCAUGGACUCUCAUGCCCUCUGACUUUCAGCUGGCUGUAUGCAAAGGGAGACACUGGCAGGAGAUCAGAAGGCCGGCCCUGAGCUAACAUCCGUGCCCA
rnacentral:lncRNA from 1 species